CAGCUACUCCCUCCGUUCGGAAUUACUUGUCUCAGAAAUGGAUGUAUCUAGAACUAAAUUACAUCUAGAUACAUCGAUUUCUACGACAAGUAAUUCCAAACGGAGGGAGUACUUU
rnacentral:pre_miRNA from 1 species